UGUAGGUUCGCCCUUGAAUGCCAAGUGAGUUCUGGACCUUCCUAAAGAUACUCAUGUCCCUGAGCCAUCUUUCUGGUCUUUAGCUGCAGAUGUAAACAAUAAGACACUGGAGGUUGGCUUUAAGCUCAAUGCAAAGCCAGGUUGGCUUUCAAUUCUUGAUUCUCCUGUCUUCUGUGUAAAGAGAUUACAGGUUCCUACUCUAUAGCCAGGCUGAGCUAAAAACAUCACAGCAACCAUUCUAUAUUAUCAGCCUGAGAUCUGGGAUUGCAGAUAUGAGCAGAGCUCAAAGAAAUAAUGUAAUUGCCAGCUUUGAGGAUGAGAUGUGAUCGAAAGCCAAAGAAUGUGUGUGCUUCUGGAAGCUGGAAAGGUCAAGGAAAUGGGUUCUGCCUUAAAGUAUCCUUUAGAAAAGAGUGUGGCACUGAUGAUGUCUUUAUUCCAGUUUAGACAGCCCUAUUUUAAGCUUUUGU